GAUGAAGAACGUAGCGAAAUGCGAUACGUAAUGUGAAUUGCAAAUUCAGUGAAUCAUCGAGUCUUUGAACGCACAUUGCGCCCCCUGGCAUUCCGGGGGGCAUGCCUGUCCGAGCGUCAUUGCUGCCCUUCAAGCCCGGCUUGUGUGUUGGGUCGUCGUCCCCCCCGGGGGACGGGCCCGAAAGGCAGCGGCGGCACCGCGUCCGGUCCUCGAGCGUAUGGGGCUUUGUCACCCGCUCGAUUAGGGCCGGCCGGGCGCCAGCCGGCGUCUCCAACCUUCUAUUUUACCAGGUUGACCUCGGAUCAGGUAGGGAUACCCGCUGAACUUAAGCAUAUCAAUAAGCGGAGGA
rnacentral:misc_RNA from 1 species